rnacentral:lncRNA from 1 species
GCUUGUAGAUUCGCCCGGACCAGGAAGCGGAUCGCGUGGACUGGAAGUCACACUGCGGCGACUCUGGGUAUGUGAAGAAGAAACUCAGAAGAGGAAGAGGAAAGCAAAGGAGUCAGGGAUGGCUCUUCCUCAGGGUCUAUUGACAUUCAGGGAUGUGGCCAUAGAAUUCUCUCAGGAGGAGUGGAAAUGCCUGGACCCUGCUCAGAGGACUCUAUACAGAGACGUGAUGCUGGAGAAUUAUAGGAACCUGGUCUCCCUGGAUAUCUCUUCCAAAUGCAUGAUGGAGUUCUCAUCAAUAGGGAAAGGCAAUACAGAAGUGAUCCACACAGGGACAUUGCAAAGACUGGCAAGUCAUCACAUUGGAGAAUGUUGCUUCCAGGAAAUUGAGAAAGACAUUCAUGACUUUGUGUUUCAGUGGCAAGAAGAUGAAACAAAUGGCCAUGAAGCACCCAUGACAGAAAUCAAAGAGUUGACGGGUAGUACAGACCAAUAUGAUCAAAGGCAUGCUGGAAACAAGCCUAUUAAAUAUCAGCUUGGAUCAAGCUUUCAUUCACAUCUGCCUGAACUGCACAUAUUUCAGCCCGAAGGGAAAAUUGGUAAUCAACUUGAGAAGUCUAUCAACAAUGCUUCCUCAGUUUCAACAUCCCAAAGAAUUUCUUGUAGGCCCAAAACCCAUAUUUCUAAUAACUAUGGGAAUAAUUUCUUCCAUUCUUCAUUACUCACACAGAAACAGGAUGUACACAGGAAAGAAAAAUCUUUCCAAUUUAAUGAGAGUGGCAAAUCCUUUAAUUGUAGCUCACUCUUUAAAAAACAUCAGAUAAUUCAUCUAGGAGAGAAACAAUAUAAAUGUGAUGUAUGUGGCAAAGACUUUAAUCAGAAGCGAUACCUUGCACACCAUCGUAGAUGUCACACUGGUGAGAAACCUUACAUGUGUAAUAAAUGUGGCAAGGUUUUUAAUAAAAAAGCAUACCUUGCACGUCAUUAUAGACGUCAUACUGGAGAAAAACCUUACAAGUGUAAUGAGUGUGGCAAGACGUUCAGUGACAAGUCAGCCCUCUUAGUUCACAAGACAAUUCAUACUGGAGAGAAACCUUACAAGUGUAAUGAAUGUGGCAAGGUUUUUAAUCAACAAUCAAACCUUGCACGUCAUCAUAGAGUUCAUACUGGAGAGAAACCUUACCAAUGUAAAGAAUGUGACAAAGUUUUCAGUCGCAAAUCAUACCUUGAAAGACAUAGGAGAAUUCACACUGGUGAGAAACCAUACAAAUGUAAGGUUUGUGACAAGGCUUUCAGACAUGAUUCACACCUGGCACAGCAUAUUGUAAUUCACACUAGAGAGAAACCUUACAAGUGUAAUGAGUGUGGCAAAACGUUUGGUGAAAAUUCAGCCCUCUUAGUUCACAAGACAAUUCAUACUGGAGAGAAACCUUACAAGUGUAAUGAAUGUGGCAAGGUUUUCAAUCAACAAUCAAACCUUGCACGUCAUCAUAGACUUCAUACUGGAGAGAAACCUUACAAAUGUAAAGAAUGUGACAAAGUUUUCAGUCGCAAAUCACACCUUGAAAGACAUAGGAGAAUUCACACUGGUGAGAAACCAUACAAAUGUAAGGUUUGUGACAAGGCUUUCAGACGUGAUUCACACCUGGCACAACAUACUGUAAUUCACACUGGAGAGAAACCUUACAAGUGUAAUGAGUGUGGCAAGACCUUCGUUCAAAAUUCAUCUCUUGUAAUGCAUAAGGUCAUUCAUACUGGAGAGAAACGUUACAAGUGUAAUGAAUGUGGCAAAAGUUUUAAUCACAAAUCAAGCCUUGCAUAUCAUCAUAGACUUCAUACUGGAGAGAAACCUUACAAGUGUAAUGAAUGUGGCAAGGUUUUUAGGACACAGUCACAACUUGCAUGUCAUCAUAGACUUCAUACUGGAGAGAAACCUUACAAAUGUGAAGAAUGUGACAAAGUUUUCAAUAUCAAAUCACACCUUGAAAUACAUAGGAGAGUUCAUACUGGAGAGAAACCAUACAAAUGUAGGGUUUGCGACAAGGCUUUUGGGCGUGAUUCAUACCUUGCACAACAUCAGAGAGUUCACACUGGAGAGAAACCAUACAAAUGUAAGGUUUGUGACAAGGCUUUCAAGUGUUACUCACACCUGGCACAACAUACUAGAAUUCAUACUGGAGAGAAACCUUUCAAGUGUAGUGAGUGUGGCAAAGCCUUUCGUGCACAGUCAACACUUAUUCACCAUCAGGCAAUCCAUGGUGUAGGGAAACUUGACUAAUGUAAUGAUUGUCACCAAGUCUUCAGUAACGCUACAACCAUUGCAAAUCAUUGAAGAAUCCAUAAUGAAUAGAGAUCUUACAAGUGUAGUAAAUGUGGCAAAUUUUUCAGACAUCGUUCAUACGCUGUAGUUCAUGGGUGAACUCAUACUGGAGAGAAACCUUACAAAUGUCAUGAUUGAGGCAAGGUCUUCAGUCAAGCUUCAUCCUAUGCAAAACAGGAGAAUUCAUACAGGAGAGAAACCUCACAAGUGUGAUGAUUGUGAGCAAAGCCUUUACUUCACGUUCACACCUCAUUAGACAUCAAAGAAUCCAUACUGGACAGAAAUCUUACAAAUGUCAUCAGUGUGGCAAGGUCUUCAGUCUGAGAUCACUCCUUGCAGAAUAUCAGAAAAUUUAUUUUUGAGAUAAUAGUUCCGAAUGCAAUGAGUAUAGCAAACCAUCAAGCAUUAAUUGACACUAGAGUCAGUUCAGCAUUGACUUGAGUUUGAGUUGACUUAACGUUGAGUUCAAGCAUUAAUUGACAUUAAAGUGUUUAUGUUAAGAGGAUUAGGCUGAGUGCGGUGGCUCACACCUGUAAUGCUAGCACUGUGGGAGGCCAAGGUGGGUGGAUCUCUUGAGGUCAGGAGUUUGAGACUAGUGUGGCCAACAGGCGUGAGCCACUUUUCCCAGCCUGUUUUUUGUUUCUUUAACAAAAACAGAUACAGAUUUUUUUUUUUUUUAAUCACCUGGGUGCAGGCAAGCUGAGUCCGAAAAGAGAGUCAGGGAAGGGAGAUGGGGUGGGGCCGUUUUAUAGGAUUUGGGUAGGUAGUGGAAAGUUACAAUCAAAGGGGGUUGUUCUCUGGCUGGCAGAGGUGGGGGUCACAAGGUGCUCAGUGGGGGAGUUUUUGAGCCAGGAUGAGCCAGGAGAAGGAAUUUCACAAGGUAAUGUCAUCAGUUAAGGCAGGGACCAGCCAAUUUCACUUCUUUUGUGGUGGAAUGUCAACUGAUAGGCAUUUUUAUGGGUACCGUGUUGAAUCUAAAUCACAUUGGGUUAUAUAAUUACUUAACAAUAUUAAUUUUUCCAAACUAUCAAUAUGGGUUGUAUCUCUAUGUAUGUUUUUAAUCAUUUUGAUCAACAUUUAUAGAUUUCAAGGUACAAACUUCUCAGCUUUGUACGUUUAUUCCUAAGUAUUUCUUACUUUAAGUUCUCUAGCAAAUGGAAGUGUUUUUAAAUUUUCUUUUAAAAUUGUUUAUUGUUAAUGUGUGGAAAUUCAAGUAAUUUUUGGUGCCGAUAUUGUAUUGUGCAAAUCCACUGAAUUUAUUUAGUAGUUUUGAGGGAAGAGAGAGACCCUCUCAUAUUGUUUUAUAUUGUUUUAUACUCAGUACCUGUUUUAGGAAAAAAACAAGGAAGUGAAAUCAAAGACAGGCAGCCCGGCGCCAGGCCUGAAACCAGGCCUGGGCCUGCCUGGCCUAAACCCAGUAGUUAAAAAUCAACUCAUAACUUAGAAACUGAUGUUAUUCAUAGAUUCCAGACAUUGUAUAGAAGAACAUUGUGAAACUCCCUGCUCUGUUCUUUUCCACUCUGAACACCGGUGCAUGCAGCCCCUGUCACAUACCCACUGCUUGCUCAAAUCAAUCACGACCGUUUCAUGUGAAAUCCUUAGUGUUGUGAGCCCUUAAAAAGGACAGAAAUUGUGCAUUAGGGGAGCUCAGAUUUUAAGGCAGUAGCUUGCCGAUGCUCCCAGCUGAAUAAAGCCCUUCCUUCUGCAACUCAGUGUCUGAGAGGUUUUGUCUGAGGCUCAUCCUGCUACUUUUCUUGGUUCCCUGACCUGAAAAUGAGGUAACUGAUGGAUGGCCGAGGCAGCCCUUUAGGUGGCUUAGGCCUGCCCUGUGGAGCAUCCCCGCGGGGGACUCUGGCCAGCCUGAGUGAC